CUGAGCUUCAACUCUUAUUCACUUCCUUGGCAGUUUGGAAGUAAAACUCUCCCCUACUAUAUUUAAUGCACUAUACAAUAUUUGUUUGCCUGUUGGUCUUUGUAACAACAUUGUGGGUCGCUGGGAUUCCAGCUAGUUCUCCCUCCAUUCCCUUUCAGUUUGAAGCAGCUGUGUGCAUAAUAUACCUGGUUCAAGGGUUGAGGAACAUAUGCUCAUCAAGAGAGUUGACUUUUAGAAGCAUUUACUUGAGUCUUUUGAAAGAAGUGACACUAGGGAUCUGCCAUUCAUGGGAUAGGUAAGCCCCAAGAGGUGGCUUUUUUUUUUUUUUCUUCCUGCAGUGAGGUGGCUUUUCUGAUCAUCUGGACUUCCAUGUGCAGGAGUGUCUGUAGAUCAAGCAUUUGUGAAACGACUGGCCAGAGCUGAGGAAAUGGUCCGUGGCCAAGAUGACUGGGGUCUCAGUGGUAGACGUCCCUAACCACCUUGGCCAAAUAGCUAGGCUACAAAAGAGGCAGACAAACUCUAGCAAUAUAGACAUACAGGCUGCAGUCGGUGCACAAAAUAACCCUAUGUUGACACAAACAAACUGCCUUCACCAUUUUGACUGUCAGGUAGUCAAGAAAAUAUUUAAGUCAGUCAAGAAGCAGUCAAAUCGGCCAGCAAGCCUGUCUGCUUUUCCCCUUUCCUCUAACUGUACUCUGCCUCCCUAUUUCCCUGGCUCACGUUUUAGAAGCAGGCACGUUUGCCUGCCAGACGAGGAUGCUUUCUUUUUCACUGAAACUUAAUGAAAUAGCUGUUACAUCAUAUAAAUUCACUUCCUUAACACUAUGUGUCAGACUAUCAAAUCAGUUAAGGAAAAUCCUCAUCUUUUUUUCUCUUUGAAAUUACAGAUGGGCUGGUUGGGUUCCAAAUUCAGUGAGUUCAUAUCGCCAUCUAGUGUUCAAAACAGGAUUGUCCUCACAACAGCGGAGACAAGGCAAGGCUGCAAAAGGCAAGUCUUUCUGGGCUUUUUGGAAGGCUCAUUUGGGCUAACGUUUUUCGGUUUGGGGCUACUUCUCACAGUUAGUUUGAUAUUUGUGUUUUGAUAGAAUACCACACUUCUGAGAGAAACUGUUGGUUAAGUUUACCUUGAAAACAAUGGUUCCUUUUCUCAGAGUGUAGGGAUGAAAUGAUCUCCCAGGUCAAACCAUACCGUGGAAGUAAAUGACAAAGUUCAUCUUAGGACAAAGCAAAUGUCCUGCUAUCGGAAAAAGAGGAAGAGAAACUAAGAUCCGAGCAGGGGCUCCAUCUUACUCCAUGUUUCUGAAAUAGUAUUUGAGUCUUAUGGGAAGGAGAUAGGAAGCCAAGGAGAAAAAAAGUAAAACUCCCAGAUGGGGAAAAUACUUUGUUUCCAUUCAAAGUGGGCAAGCCCAAGACUGAUUGUUUCAACCUUGGUGACCCUCCAUGCUUGUAGAAAACCUGCACUGGUUAUUUUUAGAAGUGAAUUCACAUUUGUUGAAUAAAAUACACGCAGAAUCUUUGCUGAUGAAGGCACAGACUGUGGGAUACUUGCAAUUUUUAGAACUGCAGCUAACAAGAUUUUUCUGUUUCUUCGCACAUUGAAGAGUUAAAGGCACUGUCAUUUCACUUCCUAGGCACAUCGUGGUGGAUCUGGGGUCCCAUUUUACUGCUACAGCGAGUGGCAGAGCUUGCUUUCAGUUUGUCUCAGAACUUCCAUAGGGCUGAGCUCGGUCCUUCCUGGUAGAGUUCUGUAACAGAGAGGCAGUGAGACAAGAAGUGAGGACAGGAAAUGGGCAAAAGAGGAGAUUUUGUGUGCUGUGGCUUCUUGCCUUUGCUGGCACAAAAAUAAGUCUGUCCACACUCUGGCAACCCUUCUUCCAGAAGUCUUGGUCCACCAGUGACAAAACUUCCCUUUACGGUUUGCAGGUGAGAGCUGAGUGUUACAAAGCAAAGGGAAAGGGAAAGCAAAAGCAAGGACAAAAAGGAAAGCUUUGCAAAUGCCCUCUUAAAGGACAACCGGUGAUUGAAGAGUGGAAAACUGACAGUGCCAUGGACUUGGCAAAUGGAGGUCCACCAGGAAAGUGCCAGAUCAAAAUGGAAAAAUGGAGAAUCUGGUCCAGCACUGGCAGAACCCACACCUUGCACACACAGUACACACACAAUCAAGAGGAACUGGACUGCAGAAAGCCAAGAGGUUCCUCUUCAAAAUGCAUCCAAGUAAAGGUUUCUCUUCAUUGAGGAAAGACUGGCACCCUGAGUUACAUUGUAAUGAUAAUUAUAGAUAUAUCUGAUGUGUUGAUGAAAAUAAAACUCCUAUUUGUUUGUAACUAUAGUAGUAACAGCCUGGAUAGAUGUUCAUCAGUGGAUGAAUGGUUAAAGUUACAUAUUUGCACUGUGGACUAUUACUCAGCAAUUAAAGAUGAAAUCAUGAAAUUUGCAGGAAAGUGGAUGGAACUAGAAAAAAAUCAUCCUAAAUGAGGUGACCUGACCCAGACACGAAAAGACAAAUGAGGGGAGAAUAAUUCAUGAAGACUCAUAACUGGUCAAGGUGUAGAGAACUGUGAAUGUUCACCCCUAUACGGAACACCAUUAUCACCCCCGAGUCUUGGGGAACAUCUCAGGAGUCAGAUUGAAUGUGAGAGCUGGAGGAUGGGGCCAAGUGCUGUCUAGUGACAUCUUCAGGAUGAACUUUACAUACGUCACCUAGCAAUAUCUAUUGUCAUCUGCACAAGACCUGCAUAGGAUCAAGUUUCUAGCAGAGAUGGGAAAAAGACAAGAAGCUGCAAGGCUUCAUCGUAAGAACCAUGCUAGCACCACCCACCAGCAAGCUCCAGGACCUCAGCAGCAAGGUGCCCCAGAACUACAACACCAUAUCCUUCAGCAGGGCACCCCCUGUCCAUGGCUCAAGUGCAUGUCUUCAAGUGUCUGGAUGUGGCCUACAGGAGAACCAUAGCCCAACUCUCUUCAAGUGAAACAUCAGAGGCAUUUCAGCUAGCCUGCACAUCUUCGCCUCCAGUCUGGUCAAUAGAGUAUUCACUUCUACCUAUACCCUGCUGUAUGUCUUCCUGAUUGCACUACCAGUUUUCUAGAAACUUCCAUUGUUUGUUUUGUUGUGUUGUUUGUUUUGGUUGUUUGCUGCUUUGGUAUUUUGUUUGUUUGUUUUGUUUUAGACAGGAUCUCACUGUGUAUUCCAGGCUGGCUAAGAGUACCCUAUGGAGACCAGGAUGGCCUCCAGAUGGGAUGCAUCAGCCUUGUCUCAGCCUUCCAGAGAAGAAGUAUAAAUCUUUCAAAAAAAAUCUUGAUCUUACAGCUUUACUGCGGUGUAAAUUCUAGGGGCAGGGUGUUAAGGCUUUGGGGUGUUACUUUGUACUCAAGUGUGAACCAGAUGUAUCAGAAGAGCUUCCUUACAAUGCGGCAUCCCAGGAUUCAAACCAGGGUGUGCUGGGUAGGUUUACAUCAACUUAAAGCCAGCUGGAGUCAUUUUGGAAUAGCAAACCUCAAUUGAGAAAAUGCCCCAACAGAUCAGCCUGUGGCCAAGCCUGUGGUGCAUUUUCUUGAUUGAUGACUGAUGUGGGAGGACCCAGCUCCCUGUGGGUGGUGCCUCCACUGGGCUCUGAUCCUGGGUGCUAUAAGAAAACACAAGGAGCAAGCCAGUGAAUGGCACUCCUCCACACCCUUGCAUCAGCUCCUGCUUCCAGUUUCCAGCCUUGCUUGGAUUCUUUCCCUGAUUUCCUUAAAUGGUGAACUGUGAUGUGGAAGUGAAAAAUGAAUAAACCAUUCUCUCUUUAA
ensembl:lncRNA